UGUCAAUCAAAACUAAAGUUGAACUGAUGUCUGUGCCCAGUGGGAUUUGUCAAGACAAACCAUAGCCUACUUUUGCUUUUAGUUCGGAACACUAAAAUCGAACUCUGUAAUUAAUCAAUUCAGUGAACUUGAGUUUACCAUAAUUGCAAUGUUAUAUUCAGACCUGGAUAGGUGGCCUGACUGGUCUCGCACCACGGAGAUGGAUAUUUACACAGACACUAAUUGAUGAAAUGCGUUUAUGCAUAAUCUAUUUGACUCAUCCUGGCAUAAACCCUGGCUGGGUCUCAGUCCAAAAUCAGCAUUUGCCAUGAAUCUGACUACAUUACCCAUAAUGCUCAUUGACUGAACAUCAUGGAAUCAUGGAUACCUUUCCUGUGAGUACUCAAGCGGUGAUUCCCCUGAGGUACAAUAUGAUAAGAACUGGAGACUGGGUCCAAGAUGUCCGACCGUUGUUUUCAAGUCUCAUCCAACUCCCGUACGGACUCAGGAGAGGCGAAGGUCGAGAGCUGUGCGUCCUCCGAAUCACAACCCAACAAAGCCGCACUGCUUCUUGACACAAUGCCCACUUAACCUGGAAGCCAGCCGCACCAAUGUGACAGAGGAAACAUUGUACACCUGGUGAUCAUGUCAGCUUGCACUGUGCCUGGCCCGCCACAGGAGUUGCUAUUGCGCGAUGGGACAAGGACAUCCCUGCCGGCCAAACCCUUCUCUAACCCGGACGACACUGGGCCAAUUGUGUGCCGCCCCAUGGGUCUCCCGGUCACAGCCAGCUGCGACAGGGCCUGGACUCGAACCCAGAAUCUCUAGUGGCACAGCUAGCACUGCGAUGCAGUGCCUUAGAGCACCAUGCCACUCAGGAGGCCUUGUUGAGAUCCCUUUUCGUUGUAUACGUAUGACAUUUUUGUCCCAUGCUUUAGCUAUCUCCAGGCAACACGGACACCAGACAGCAAGCAUCACAUUAUCCAAGUGCUGAAAUUAGGAGACAUCAAUUGGACCAAUACAAAAUCUGAGGGACUGCAUAAUAACUGCCGGAAAUCAUAUUCACAGAACCAUACUUUCUCUGAUCUUUCCUUUUUAUUGGUAUUGUACUUCAUUUUCAGCACCUCAGACAGCACUGUUCACCAGAGGUCGGGACCCCAGAUAGCAUAUGAACAUGUCAUAAGCC
ensembl:lncRNA